GUACAAUUUAUUAUAAAUAUUAUACGAUGAAGUACCAAAGUUCAAAGUGGCAUAUGAUCAGAUAUUCAGAUUCCCUUUGCAGGUUAAACUCUAUACCAGCAAAAAAAAUGUUUUACAGUAUAUCUCCAAGAUUCUCCAUUUAAGAUAUUAUAAUUUCAGUGAUGAUGCCUUAUUUCAGGAUAAUUGGUGUUGUUUUUGCUGCAGCUCAGGCCGGAUUUUGGAUUGCAAGGCUAAGCAGGUCAUCUAAAUUGUGACACAACGGCAGAAGCUGAAAAGAAGAAAUAUAUAAACCACAUUGAGGAGUUAGUCCAAUGAAUGGGAUGGGAGCCCUUCAAAGUCACAUAUACAAGCGAUUUAUGUUCAAGCUUUAUACGAGCAGGCAAUUGAGUUAAUCGGAAAGGGGAUAGCCUAUGUGGAUCACCAGGAGUUCUUUCAAUUCUCCUAUGCUUGGGAUCUGUUUGAUUGAUGGACCUUAAAGCUCAUGCAAUAAUGCAUGAACUUGUCAAAAGGUUCAGCUGCUACCAACAUAAAUGUGGCUAUGUUGGAAGAUGAUACAGGAAAUGUUCAUGCCGCUCUAAGCCAUUUGCACGAAGCACUAUUAUUAGUAGUUACAGAAGCUGGCACUUACAUGGGUGCAUGUCGGUGCCUUCUAGAGAUUAGGUUCCUGUUUAUCUAAUGCAAAUUUUGCUGCCUAUAUUGCGCAAGAUUGCUUUGCAGUUCUCUUGGACACUAGGAUUGAUUGUGUUGCUUGGUUCUGGUAUCUAAGGAUCUCUUGUGCUGAAACAUUGCGGUGCUUUGCCAAGUUUUUGUGGUUCUUUUUUACUGGCAAAGAAAACUUACGCUAACAAUCGUUAGUUCAUUGGGGCACAUGAACCAUAGUGAACAUUGGUUAAGAUGAACACAUUGACAUAAUGGCAUUGAUGUUUGAUGUAUGUAUGUUUGUAUGGUCCGCGAUGGUGGCAUGAAAAGUGAAUCAAGUUGGUAGACAAUCUGAGACGAUGUCUGGUUAGAUAUUA